CUAAUAAGUAAAUUUAUUACGUAUAAUUUCAAUAAUUUCGUUUAUUAAUUCGUUUAAUUCUUAUUUAUAUUGUAUCAAACUAGAAACCAUCUUGUUUUGCCUCCGAAACAUUAAUAACAUAUUUCUACAUGGCCAUGCUUUCUACAAUUAACCUCCUUACUUAAAAUAUGCCAUAAGUACGCCAGUUUACAAAAUUCUUUUAGCAAAAAUUAACAAUUCUCCCAUGAGGCGUUGUAGCGUCGCUUGACAAAUCAGGCAGAUACACCGUGAUGACGUCACGGAACCGUAAUGCCUGUGAUUGGUUCGCACGUGACAGUCGGUGCCUCUGGUGUAGUGUCGGCAGAAAAAAUUGGGCACACGGACUAGUGUAUAACCACGGGAACGAGAAAGCGUCACAUUCCAUUAUACGCGACUGACAAUAAUUCCACAUUUCACACGCAGCAAAUAAUUCCGUGGUUCUGUCCCCGCCUGUCAUGUUUGGACGAUGUUAUGCAAUAAAGGAUAUUUAAUAAGAAGAUAUGUAUAAUUAUGAGAUAUAAGUCUUAUUUCGAAAUAACCUGUUUUUAUCUUAGUUGAUCAAGG